rnacentral:rRNA from 1 species
GACGAACGCUGGCGGCGUGCCUAAUACAUGCAAGUAGAACGCUGAAGCGAGGAGCUUGCUCUUCUUGGAUGAGUUGCGAACGGGUGAGUAACGCGUAGGUAACCUGCCUUGUAGCGGGGGAUAACUAUUGGAAACGAUAGCUAAUACCGCAUAACAAUGGAUGACACAUGUCAUUUAUUUGAAAGGGGCAAUUGCUCCACUACAAGAUGGACCUGCAUUGUAUUAGCUAGUAGGUGAGGUAAUGGCUCACCUAGGCGACGAUACAUAGCCGACCUGAGAGGGUGAUCGGCCACACUGGGACUGAGACACGGCCCAGACUCCUACGGGAGGCAGCAGUAGGGAAUCUUCGGCAAUGGGGGCAACCCUGACCGAGCAACGCCGCGUGAGUGAAGAAGGUUUUCGGAUCGUAAAGCUCUGUUGUAAGUCAAGAACGGGUGUGAGAGUGGAAAGUUCACACUGUGACGGUAGCUUACCAGAAAGGGACGGCUAACUACGUG